rnacentral:rRNA from 1 species
GACGAACGCUGGCGGCGUGCUUAACACAUGCAAGUCGAACGAAGUGGCGAACGGGUGAGUAACGCGUAAUCAACCUGCCCUUCAGAGGGGAACAACAGUUGGAAACGACUGCUAAUACCGCAUACUGAAUGAGGGGUUUGGGUCUGAUUAGCUCGGUGGAGGGGUAACGGCCCACUAAGGCGAUGAUCAGUAGCAGGUCUGAGAGGAUGAACGGCCACAUUGGGACUGAGACACGGCCCAGACUCCUACGGGAGGCAGCAGUGGGGAAUCUUCCGCAAUGGACGAAAGCCUGACGGAGCAACGCCGCGUGAGUGAUGAAGGUCUUCGGAUCGUAAAACUCUGUUAUUAGGGAAGCGGUACCUAAUCAGAAAGCCACGGCUAACUACGUGCCAGCCGCCGCGGUAAUAC